GGCUUGUGGCCAGCGGUGGAACACUUGCCCAGCGUGCAUGAGGCCCUGGGUUCGAUCCCCAGCACCA
rnacentral:tRNA from 1 species